UGCCUUACACAUGCAAGUCGAACGGCAGCACGGGUGGCUUGCGACCUGGUGGCGAGUGGCGAACGGGUGAGUAAUAUAUCGGAACGUACCUUAUCGUGGGGGAGUAACGCAGCGAAAGGUUGGCUAAUACCGCAUACGCCCUACGGGGGAAAGCUAGGGACCUUCGGGCCUGGCGUUAAUGGAGCGGCCGAUAUCUGAUUAGCUAGUUGGUGAGGUAAAGGCUCACCAAGGCGACGAUCAGUAGCUGGUCUGAGAGGACGACCAGCCACACUGGAACUGAGACACGGUCCAGACUCCUACGGGAGGCAGCAGUGGGGAAUUUUGGACAAUGGGCGCAAGCCUGAUCCAGCCACUCCGCGUGAGUGAAGAAGGCCUUCGGGUUGUAAAGCUCUUUCGCAAGGGAAGAAAACUUAUCCUCUAACAUAGGAUGAGGUUGACGGUACCUUGAUAAGAAGCACCGGCUAACUACGUG
rnacentral:rRNA from 1 species